rnacentral:tRNA from 1 species
GGGCGCGUGGGAUGGGGCUUUAUCCCACGGUCUUGAAAACCGUCGAUGGGCAACUAUCCUAGAGUUCGAAUCUCUACGCUUCCGCCA